GCCAGUGUGACGUAGUGGUUUGAGUGCUGGAGUAUAACUCUGGAGACUAGGGUUCAAUUCCCUAUUCAGCCA